AUGGCUGUCGUCAGCUCGUGUCGUGAGAUGUUGGGUUAAGUCCCGCAACGAGCGCAACCCUUGCCUUUAGUUGCCAGCAGUUCGGCUGGGCACUCUAAAGGGACUGCCGGUGUUAAACCGGAGGAAGGUGGGGAUGACGUCAAGUCCUCAUGGCCUUUAUGACCAGGGCUACACACGUACUACAAUGGCCGAUACAAAGGGCAGCGACACUGCGAGGUGAAGCCAAUCCCGUAAAAUCGGUCUCAGUCCGGAUUGGAGUCUGCAACUCGACUCCAUGAAGUUGGAAUCGCUAGUAAUCGUGGAUCAGCAUGCCACGGUGAAUACGUUCCCGGGCCUU
rnacentral:rRNA from 1 species